GACGAACGCUGGCGGCGUGCUUAACACAUGCAAGUCGAACGGAAAGGCCCUGCUUUUGUGGGGUGCUCGUGUGGCGAACGGGUGAGUAACACGUGAGUAACCUGCCCUUGACUUUGGGAUAACUUCAGGAAACUGGGGCUAAUACCGGAUAGGAGCUCCUGCUGCAUGGUGGGGGUUGGAAAGUGUCGGCGGUUGGGGAUGGACUCGCGGCUUAUCAGCUUGUUGGUGGGGUAGUGGCUUACCAAGGCUUUGACGGGUAGCCGGCCUGAGAGGGUGACCGGCCACAUUGGGACUGAGAUACGGCCCAGACUCCUACGGGAGGCAGCAGUGGGGAAUAUUGCACAAUGGGCGGAAGCCUGAUGCAGCAACGCCGCGUGCGGGAUGACGGCCUUCGGGUUGUAAACCGCUUUCGCCUGUGACGAAGCGUGAGUGACGGUAAUGGGUAAAGAAGCACCGGCUAACUACGUG
rnacentral:rRNA from 1 species